UACGGGGGGAGCAAGCGUUGUUCGGAUUUACUGGGCGUAAAGGGCGCGUAGGCGGUCAGCACAAGUCAGUUGUGAAAUCUCCGAGCUUAACUCGGAAAGGUCAACUGAUACUGUGCGACUAGAGUGCGGAAGGGGCAACUGGAAUUCUUGGUGUAGCGGUGAAAUGCGUAGAUAUCUGGAGGAACACCGGUGGCGAAGGCGGCAUCCUGGACCAAUAUUGACGCUGAGGAGCGAAAGCUAGGGGAGCAAACGGG
rnacentral:rRNA from 1 species